rnacentral:rRNA from 1 species
UACGUAGGGCGCAAGCGUUGUCCGGAAUUAUUGGGCGUAAAGAGCUCGUAGGCGGUUUGUCACGUCGGAUGUGAAAACCCGAGGCUUAACCUCGGGCCUGCAUUCGAUACGGGCUGACUAGAGUUCGGUAGGGGAGACUGGAAUUCCUGGUGUAGCGGUGAAAUGCGCAGAUAUCAGGAGGAACACCGGUGGCGAAGGCGGGUCUCUGGGCCGAUACUGACGCUGAGGAGCGAAAGCGUGGGGAGCGAACAGG